AGUUGCCAGCAUUCAGUUGGGGACUCUAAGGAGACCGCCGGUGUCAAACCGGAGGAAGGUGGGGACGACGUCAAGUCAUCAUGGCCUUUAUGUCCAGGGCUGCACACGUCAUACAAUGCGGCGUACAAAGGGCAGCAAACCCGCGAGGGGGAGCUAAUCUCAAAAAGCGUCGCUCAGUUCGGAUUGCAGGCUGCAACUCGCCUGCAUGAAGCUGGAAUCGCUAGUAAUCGCAGAUCAGCUAUGCUGCGGUGAAUAUGUUCCUGAGCCUUGUACACACCGCCCGUCAAGCCACGAAAGCGGGGGGUGCCUGAAGUCGCUGUGCUAACCGAAAGGAGGCAGGUGCCUAGGGCAAACUUCGUGAUUGGGACUAAGUCGUAACAAGGUAGCCGUAGGGGAACCUGCGGCUGGAU
rnacentral:rRNA from 1 species